rnacentral:rRNA from 1 species
UACGGAGGGUGCGAGCGUUGUCCGGAAUCACUGGGCGUAAAGGGCGCGUAGGUGGCCCGGUCAGUCUUUGGUGAAAGCGCGGGGCUCAACCCUGCGUCGGCCAGGGAUACUGCCGCGGCUCGAGCACUGUAGAGGCAGGCGGAAUUCCGGGUGUAGCGGUGGAAUGCGUAGAGAUCCGGAAGAACACCAGUGGCGGAAGGCGGCCCG